AAGGUAGCGAAAUUCCUUGUCAGGUAAAUUCUGACCCGCAUGAAAGGUGUAACGACUUGGGAACUGUCUCAACGAAGGACCCGGUGAAAUCGCAAUGACGGUGAAGAUGCCGUCGACCUACAGCAAGACGAAAAGACCCCGUGGAGCUUUACUACAACUUGGUAUUGAAUUAGAGUUUUGGUUGCCGAGCAUAGGUGGGAGACUUUGAAGCGCCGUUUCCGGAUGGCGUGGAGUCAACACUGGAAUACCACCCUGCUGAGAUUUUAAUUCUAACCCUGGUUCAUAUCCAGACCGGGAACAGUGCCUGGUGGGUAGUUUGACUGGGGCGGUCGCCUCCUAAAUAGCAACGGAGGCGUUUACAAAGGUUGGCUAGGUCCGGAUGGAAAUCGGGCCGAUAGCGCAAAAGCACAAGCCAGCUUUACUGGAAGACCCAUAAGUCGAUCAGUUACGAAAGUAGAAUUUAGUGAACCGACCAUCCCACGUAGGUGGGUGGAAGAUCAUCAGAUAAAAGUUACCCCGGGGAUAACAGGCUGAUCCCUCCCAAGAGUCCACAUCGACGGAGGGGUUUGGCACCUCGAUGUCGGCUCAUCGAGCUGGGUUCAAACCGUCGUGAGACAGGUUGGUCUCUAUCUGCUGUAGGCGUGAGUGCUUGAGAGGACUCUUUCUUAGUACGAGAGGACCGGAAAGAACAAACCUCUGGUGUAUCGGUUGUUCCGCCAGGAGCAUUGCCGAGUAGCUAUGUUUGGACGAGAUAACCGCUGAAAGCAUCUAAGCGGGAAGCUCACCUCAAGAUAAGGCACUAGCCAUGAUUCGUCAUGGUAGGACAUCCUAGAAGACUACUAGGUUGAUAGGCUUUAGGUGUAAGUUCGGCAACGAAUUUAGCCAAGAAGUACUAAUA
rnacentral:rRNA from 1 species